UUUUAGAUACAAACGCACGGCAUCAGGCAGAGAGAGAGACAUAUAAAAAUAUAAAACAUUGAAGCCGACCAAUCACAGCAAGGCACGUGACAUGUCAGCCAAUCGCUGCUCGCGGACCUUCACAUCCUGGUCGCUGUGUGUAAAGUUGCGGCGCUGCGGUCGACGUCCAGUGUCUUGUCAGUCACAGACACACCAUCAUUGUAAGUCUUCAUCACCAGAGUCAACGAGCAUCAUGAGGUACAGGGUGGUCACUACUUACCUCAUGUACCUGCUGUUGGUGCCAAGCCUGGCUCAAGAGUUAAAAGCUCGUGUAGUCGGUGGCACAGCGGUGGCGGGACGUCUGGAAAUCUUUUACGAUGGAACUUGGAACACAGUGUGUGAUAGAGGUUUUGGACAGGAAGAAGCUUUGGUAGCCUGCAGAAUGUUAGGAUUCAACAGCACAACAGCAGUAGCCGUGGGGUCAGUCAAGUACGGAGAAGGCUCUGGUCCUAUUCUGUUCGGUGAACUGCGGUGUGUGGGGCACGAAACAAGCCUGGCGCAGUGUAGACACUCGGGGCUCUACAUGCACUACUGUGAACACUGGGAGGAUGUCGGCGUCAUGUGCAACUUUACUGAACAGUUCACAGCUCGUGUGGUCGGUGGCACAGCGGAGGCGGGACGUCUGGAAAUCUUUUACGAUGGAACUUGGAACACAGUGUGUCGUGGAGGUUUUGAAAAGAAAGAAGCUUUGGUAGCCUGCAGAAUGUUAGGAAUAAACAGCACAACAGCAGUACCCGUGGGGUCAGCCAAGUACGGAGCAGGCUCUGGUCCUAUUCUGUUCAGUGACCUCCAGUGUGUGGGGCACGAAACCAGCCUGGCGCAGUGUCAACACCCGGGGCUUUACAGACAGUACUGUCAACACUCGCGGGUUGUCGGCGUCAUGUGCAACUUUACUGAACAGUUAAAAGCUCGUGUGGUCGGUGGCACAGCGGAGGCGGGACGUCUGGAAAUCUUUCACGACGGAACUUGGAACACAGUGUGUAAUUACCGUUUUGGACAGAAAGAAGCUUUGGUAGCCUGCAGAAUGUUAGGAUUCAACAGCACAACAGCAGCAGCCGUGUGGUCAGACAAGUACGGAGAAGGCUCUGGUCUUAUUCUGUUCAGUAACCUGCAGUGUGUGGGGAACGAAACCAGCCUGGGGCAGUGUAAAUACUGGGGGCUCUACAAACACGAGUGUGAACACUGGCUGGAUGUCGGCGUCGCGUGCAACAUUACUCAACAGUUAAAAGCUCGUGUGGUCAAUGGCACAGCGGAGGCGGGACGUCUGGAAAUCUUUUACGAUGGAACUUGGAACACAGUGUGUGAUAGAGGUUUUGGACAGAAAGAAGCUUUGGUAGCCUGCAGGAUGUUAGGAUUCAACAGCACAAUAGCAAUACCCGUGUGGUCAAACAAGUAUGGAGAAGGCUCUGGUCCUAUUCUGUUCAGUAACCUGCAGUGUGUGUGGAACGAAACCAGCCUGGCGCAGUGUCAACACUGGGGGCUCUACAGACACAACUGUGAACACUCGGAUGACAUCGGCGUCGCGUGUAUCUUUACUCAACAGUUAAGAGCUCGUGUAGUCGGUGGCACAGCGGAGGCGGGACGUCUGGAAAUCUUUUACGCUGGAACUUGGAACACAGUGUGUGGUAGCUGGUUUGGACAUGAAGAAGCUUUGGUAGCCUGCAGAAUGUUAGGAUUCAACAGCACAACAGCAGUAGCCGUGGGGUCAGACAAGUACGGAGCAGGCUCUGGUGAUAUUUUGUUCAAUAACCUGCGGUGUGUGGGGAACGAAACCAGCCUGGCGCUGUGUCAACACCGAGGGCUCUACACACACAACUGUGAACACUGGGAGGAUGUCGGCGUCAUGUGCUACAUUAAUCCUCCUGAGAUGCCUUUCUUACUAAUCGACAACCAAACUACCGUCAACUGCACCACGAAUGUCAACAACAGUGUUGACUUUACCUGCCGAGUAGGUGCCGGCAUUGUAGAGAGCCUGGAACUGCUGAAGGUCACAAGAAAUGGUUUACAAAUAGUUCAAGGACUCAGCACAUCUUCUCCCUCCUUCAGAAUACAGAAAGCAGGAUGUGGUGACUCGGGUAUCUACUAUUGUCGGGCUGGCAACACACUGGGACAAACUAACUCCACGUCAGUACAGCUCAGUGUGUUGUGUUCACCAGAGUGGGCCAGCGACACCUUAGCAACAACCACGGAACUAAAGGUGACGGAAGGGUUAGAAGGACAGACAACCUUUGAAGUUAUGGCCUCCCCAGUUCCAACUAUCGACGGUUAUAUUUCUCACCAUGAAAAGAUGAAUUCUUCUUCUCAGGAGAAGCCAGUCAGAUCCGAUCUUUUUACUGGGAAAUGCGAGCAGAAGACACCGGACCUUCACCUGGCUACCUGCACUGUGUAUGUUACACAAGCCACGCCUACAGAUACCGGACUGUACAGUGUCCACGUCAGCAACUCAAAGGGCGCCAUGACUGUCACCUUCCAACUCCGUGUGACAGCGUGCAGAGACAACCUGACUGAGUGUCCCAGUCUCGCCAGCCGCUGUGGUGAACAUUUUGUACAGGAGUUUUGCUGGAAGACAUGCUCAGGGUGUCGUAAACAAACAAGCAGAAGUAUGGAAUAUGCGUUCUCUCCCUCUCUCCCUCUCUCUCUCUCUCGUAUUCUUUCAAAUUCUUCUGCCGUUAUUAACUUGCUUCUUUCAUCUUUCCUUUCUCCACUUCAAUACUUAUUUUGUCUGUUGUUUAAGCAAACUCAAAACGAAUCAAAUAUAGCAAAGUUUUCUAAAAAGAAGGAGGCACCGAAAAAAUUCUAAAAUUGACAGUAUGGUUGACUUCCAAACUUGGAGUAUGAGCAUUGGUAAUGUCAACUUAACCAGGAUACAAGCAAUUGUAUAGGCACUUGAGUCCCAGUGAAUGAAUAAUUGUUAUUAACUGUUAAUAAACUUAAUGUGUACACAGUUUUUGAACAGAUAAACAAGGUUACUCUCUGUCAGGCCUCUCAAAGUAUCCGGGACACACAAUGCUGACAAUACACACCAGCAGUUACUGUGUCCCACACGUUUUUAUUCUCAUAACAAAUCACAAAGACCUGUUCAUGGGCUGUUCACGUUUGCUAUUGUCAAGAGUUUUGAUUAUCUGUUAGUGGAGGCAAGAAAAAACUGCUCUAUGGACAUACCGGUAAGAGUUAAUUGAUAACAACUGUCCCUGUGAUAACACUUCCCUUAUAUAAGUUACUCUCACUCUAAAGGUCAUAAAACCUCUACAUACUAAAAUUAAUUAUUCAUUACACAUAAGUUGAAACUUCCAAAGUCUACAGUCUCUCAAGUGGGGAACCCCAGCUAUUAACACCCUUUUCAAGAUUUAAGACCAGUGUUACAAUGCAAACAGAACAGCUAAACGGUCUCACUUGUGUUCGAGCGAAGUCCGUGUCCGACUACACAUUCUCUCUCUCUCACACACACACAGACAUCCCCUUCAGUCUUCUCCCUUGUUUGCACCACCAAUGUUAUCCACUUGAUGACCCACAAUAGUUGGUGCUGACUGAUGAGGGUGAAGUCAUCACUCCCAUGAUCCAUGAUAGCUGGUGUUGUCUGUGAGGACACUUUAGACUAACGAGGGUGACAUUACAACUUCUAUAAUUCUUUCUGUUCCUGUCUUCCUUUGCCCCCAUGUGAUUCAUGAAAACCUUGCGACUUAAUUAAUAUACAUAAAGGGCUGGUGUGUCAGACAUGACAUUAAUACUGAGACAGACCUAUGACACUAGCGAGGACACAUUAAAUACAAUUCACUGGCGGGAAGAUAUAUAUAUAUACUGUAUAUAUGUGUGUGUAAUUAUUAACACUGUGGUUGUUAACAAAACUGCGAAUGUGACACUACUGCUUACACAUUUCCGACAAGUACCCGAUCUUUCGUGUAAAAGGCGAGAUUUGUACAAAGACAUCUGUGAGUACAGCGCUGAAAUUUCCGGUGGCUGUUAAUGAUCGGUGUUUACUUCGAAUUUUGUAUAUUUGUUUAUUCAUGCGACGUGUCUUACACCUCCAUCGGUAUUGGUGAUCAUCUGUCGACCUUCCACUAAUGUCUGUAAGCGUGAGUACCUGUUUACUUUUUUGUUUUUUGUUUUUUUUACAGCAAAACUGCUUUCGGAAAGUUAUUUAAUAAUGUAAAUCUGUAUGAUUGAACUGAUUUGAUAAUAUCCUCAUUAGUAUGCAUUACUAUAGCUGAUUAUAACCUGUAGCUAUAGUUAUAAAGCGAGAGUUGCCCUCAGGCUACAGGUGGAACAAGUCUGUAAAUAUAAAACAGUGUCAAGACACUACAGAAGUAGUUUUACCCAUGUGACAGUAAUUAUAAGGCAGUAGCCAAGAUUCCUUCGAAUAAAGUAACACAAGGGAAUGUAAGUGGGUCUACACACCGCUUUGCCCUUGUUGUUCCCCACUUUCCCUCUGGGCAAUGUUUCACCUCGCUUCAUAACUACAACCACAAAGACUCAACCUUCUGUAAGUCGAUAAAUUUAGUGAUAGAUGUGUAAUGUUGCAAAUAUUAACAUGAAGAAAAAGUGAAUAAUAGAUAUUAUACACGUGAAAUAUACCAAGAAGUGUCUUCAGUACUUUUCAGAUAAAUAUUAUUUACGUGUGUGUUAUGUUGUUCAGAAAAGCUUCAUACAGAGAACCACCUCAAGAGAAGGAACCAGAGCAUAAUGGGUUGAUCUACAGACUAAAAGACUUACAAAACCUGAGACAGUUACAUGGUGUAGUCCACAGUAAGUAAGGAGUUUCAAAAAUGAAUAGCUAGUAUUGCAGUGGAUAAAAAAAAACCUGUCACCAUCACAGUCAUAUCUGGAAUGUCUUGGGUUUGGAUUUUGGUUUCAAUCUGUCUGUCUCUGUCUGUCUCUGUCUGUCUCUGUCUCUGUCUGUCUCUGUCUGUCUCUGUCUGUCUCUGUCUGUCUCUGUCUCUGUCUGUCUCUGUCUGUCUCUGUCUGUCUGUGUCUGUGUGUGUCGAUAUGAUGGAUUUUAUAGCUUUUUGUUUUUGUUUUGUGAUUACUCACCUGCAUGUAAAAAGUGUUGAUUAGUUUUGUACCCUCAGUCAGUGGGUGAAAGAGGCGUUACAUAACUUAACAACUAAAUAUUUUGUUAAUAAGCAUAACAGAUCAUAUUAAACUAAUGUGUUGUUUCCAGAGAUUAUUUGCAGACAAAAUGCUGCCCCUCGUUAUGGUGUGCUAUUCAACAUCAGUAGCUACUGACAGAGACCUCAUGUCUACACGGUCUACACGUCACGUGACUUGUGUACGAGAGUGUCUGCCUGCACGUAUAUAGGUGGACUGAUGUCUGUCUGCCGAGACUCACUCUUGGCCUCUUGCUAAGUUCUCCGCUGUCAGUCUCGGCGAACCAGAAGACGACCUUACUUCCGGAGGAGCAGCGCGAAGAUGGAAUUUAAUGAGACUUGUGAUAUCAACAAUAUAAUUACCUUCAGUGCAUUGGAUUGUUGCACUAUUAACGAAACUGUUGCCUAUUUAGAACACAAAAGUAUCUGCUUCUCUAGUCUGGAAUCAUUCUCAUGAAAUAAUAAAUAAUGUGAAAUGCACAUAAACACGAAGAUCUACAAUCACUGAAGUGUUCGCAUAUAUGUUUCACCUUGGUCUCUCGCUUAUAUAAAAUUCGUGCAGUGUCCAACUUUCGUAGAUAGAAAUAUCGCUACAUCAACACAAGUCUUGUGAGAACAACACACUAACGGUCAUUGUAAGCUGAGCUUCGUGGAUCUGGAGAUACCUGAUGUCAGUCAUGUCAGUCAUGUCUGUAUUGCAUGAAAAUUUACUGUGACAGCUCGACAUCACAUCUUUGUGUAGCAGCUACAGGGAGGUAAUCAGAGUCUGAAGUCGACAUAACCAUGUGUAGGUCUAAAAUCGAAAUAACGGCGAGCAUCAUCUCUGUGGGGAAGGUGGGUGAACUGAAAUCACUGGCGUUGGUCUUUGUUCAGAUACAACGAUUUUUUAAACAAUAAAAAGAAUAUUGAAUCAAUACACUUCUCGAGCAAUUUAAUGAAUGACUUGGUUGUUAAUAACUAAAUUUGUUUAUGGGCGUAUCUUCGGCUGUGUGAAAACUGUCUAAGCCUUAUAGUCGCGAACUAAAACAUGUACAGAAAAGGUGAGAGUAGAAGGCGAAAAGUAAGCCAACAAUACGAUAACUACUUUUUUAUGCAUUCUUCUUCCAAUAGACUGAAACUGUUGUCUGAGCGGCCUAAAGCAUGAAUGAGAGCAGUUCACCACUUGUCUUGCUCUGUCGAUGUACCUGUCCGCGGAAGCGAAAACAACUUACACCGAAAGAUUUGAUACUUGCACAAGGUCUGGGGUGGCUUGUUGACAAGCUGAGGGACAGACGAGGAAAGGGUGGCGUACGUGCCAGUGUAGAGGUGUUGUGUGCGUUGGGAGCGCAGAGGUGUCGACAGAGGGAGACAGCCCUAAGUGGUGACAAUCUUUAAAGGCAAUCAAAGAAACCUUAAUCAAAGACAGAUUACUCGAGAUUAACGAAACAGUGGCGUGGGGCGACAACUGUAAUACCCUGACCAAAGAGGGACGCUCGCCAUUGAUAGUCGUCUGGUCUCUGAUGACAAAGUU